rnacentral:lncRNA from 1 species
GAGCUCAAGUUUCGAGCUCUGCUAGGCGGUGCAACCUCUCCAGUCAGGCGGUGCAACCGCCUGAGCUCGGUCUUCGAGCUCUGGUAGAGCGGUGCAACCGCCCCUGACAGAGAGGUGCAACCGCCUGGGCUCAGUCCUCGAGCUCUGCCAGGCGGUGCAACCUCUCCAGUUAGGAGGUGCAACCGCCUGAUCCCGGAAUUCCGGGAUUUGAUCGUUUUGAGCUCCAAAUUUGAACUGGGUUGGGGCCUAUA